ensembl:lncRNA
GACGUGGGUCCCUAGGCCCCCCGGCGAGGGCCGAGGGCUGCCGCCCAUUGGCUGAAGCCCAGGACCAGGCCAGCCACCCACAGUCUUUCCCUAGGGCGAGCCACCCACACCUCAGUGUUUCACAGGCUCCCACCAAGUCUGCUCAGCUGCCUUGGAGGCCCUCGGCUCUCCUUCCACCGCCACCUUGGCUUUUUGCCCGUUGGCGGCCAGGCUGCCACUCCGCAGCUGCCCUGAGAAGCUGCUAACCACAUGGCUUCGGUGGUGCCACCUUCGAGUUAUUUUUCAACCGGACUUCCAGCCGCCAUCAUGUUUGCAGAACUGCCUUUGAUCCUGGUCCAUGCAUGGGUCAUAAAAAUCCACCCUUCCUUGAGGCAGAGACUUGCAACCAGACCCUGAAGAUGAGUGAAACCUCCUGGCGGCUGUGAUGCUGGUGGUAUCCUAAGUCUGCUGGGCCUAUAGAGGGAGGGAGGAGUAUCUCAAGGAAUGAGAGGAAGGUGGCUUUUGCCUCCAAACAAUGUGGUGAGAAUCUGUCACCUCUAAAAAGAAAUAGGUGCCCCAUCAUGAGUUCCAAUAUAGGAAUCUCCCUCAGGACAACAAUUAACCAUCAAGGCAGGAUGCUCCCCUUUUGGAAGAAGACAGACAGAAAGACUUUCAACAUCCUCUGAGGCUUCUCCUGCAACUUUCCAAAAGUCUUUCCCAGAAAGGGAUAGGGCAAUGCCCCUGAAGAAAUGAGGGAGCACUGACUUAGGGUCAGACCUCCAGUUCAUCAUAUGUUUCACAGCAAAAAUUCAUUCAUUCAUUCAUUGAGUCAGUUAGUCAUUCCCUCCCUCUUCACUGAAAAAAAUGUGGCUAGAAUGUCCCUAGUUUCUCCUACCCAUGAACCAGUUUUCCAAAUAACACAGUUUGUGGUUCCUGCCUACAAUAGCAGAAUACUUUGAAUUUAGGUCUUCGACCUCCAUUCCCAAUGUCAUGGCAGUCACAGAAACAUUGGCAGACUGCUGCCUCCCAGAGCACCCAACUGCCAUGCAGUAUGUUUACCUAUUCUGCACUUGGGUGGUCAUGGAUUCGUUUCUUUUGUUGGGAUCCCUAUUCUGCAGUUGUGCAUUGUUUCUCCUAAUCAACUCCAAAAUCCAGAUGAUCCUGUUUAAGUGAGCCAUAGACUUCAUUAAAUCCACUGGUGCCACGGACUACUCAGACGGAGGAUACCACUGUGGGAAAAGGAGGGCUCUGGUACUCAGGAAGGCACAGGUUUGGCGCAAUGACAGACAGACACAACACACUCAGGGUGAUUUGAAUCUGCUGCGAUUUUACUAAAUUUCUGCUUUGUGGUUAUAUACAAUGCUUGAACAGGAGCUAAUUUUUGGCCCCUUGCCAGGGUACAGUCAAACCAUAACAAAGAAAAAGUUUAACAGUUUAAAUGAAGUUCAGAACAGAAAGCAAGACAGGAAAUAAACUUUCCUGAGAAUCGGACUGGUGCCAGACGGUGGUCAUAAACCUCAUUUACCUCCAUCUCUAAAUAUCAUCUCUCGGAUAACAACAGGACAGCCAGCUGUAAGGAAUCUUUAGUCUUUUACUCUCUCUUAGCCAAAAUUUAUGUAAUCGUCUUUUUAAAGAUAGGAUAAUUCCUUUUGAUAAUAGGCAAGCAGGGGGAUGUGAUCUGGCCAAGUGUUCUAUAAAAUUUAAAGAAUAAUAUAAUACUCUCUUUCCGUCAAUAUUAACCCAUCUAUCACCUUCUUCAUCAUAUGUCCCUGUGUAGGGCAAUGGCUCUGCAGCGGUCCUGUAUCUACUCAGGCUGUUUUUACCUGGAGGAGGGGCCCACCACCUUCCUCUAAUUAAAUAAUGUUUUCUUCCAUGUAACCACUUGAUAGGAAUUCCUAAAUGUAUGGAUUUUUUUUAUAAUUGACGGGACUCUCCCCUCUAAUUGCUAGUGCCUUGAUUCUUUCACUAUCUAGGAGGUCUGGAUUAUCCACAGUUCAUUCUUCCUGUUGUAAGUUAUUGAUCACAUCUCUUAGAGUUUCAUUCUGAUUCUACUUAAUUUUUACUAGUGCUUUCAAAAGAGGCAUGGUCCGUAAAGCCCAAAUCAGGUCUCGGUGUUCCCGUUAGUAGAAAAAGGAACAAAGGGGCCUGUAUCUAAGUCCGGAUCGUACCUGUUCAAAUCAGUAGGCAGAAAGUCGAGAGGAAGUGGCCAAGUGUCUCCAGGAGACCAGGUUCCGAGGAACACAUAUCUAUGUCCUGCUGACCACGAUUGUUUCAUGUCAGACAGGGUCCACUGGAGCUGGCCCAGCACUAUUUCAUGUGGGCUUUGCUUCCCAGGUGAGCAAUCGUUUCUCAUGGGUGAAUUGAGACCCAUUCCCUGCACGUGUGGCUGUAUAUAUCCAGGCAACUACACCAGAUCCCCUCACAUAAGCUUUCUGUUCUUUGCCUUCCCAACUAAGCUGCUUGAUUCAUGAGUGCAGCUUCCAAAAUUGAACAGAAUUAGUUUCUGGUACUGUAUAACAAGGAGGCAAGUCUCAUUACCUUGUAUGACACCUGAGAUUUAGAGCCAGACCUAAGCACAUGAAGUCAACUUUAAAGAGUGCAGACACGUGACUCUUUGUCCAGCCCACGUGGUGUUCUUAAGAAAGCACCAUCCAGAUCUACAAAAGGUUAUCGUAGGGAAGAAACAGUCAUUAUUCUACAGGACUAGAGGGCACAGUUCACAGGAGUGGGUAGAAGUAGGGAGGAGACCCAGAAUAUAGAGGGAUAGACAGAGUUGUCCCGCAGAGUAGAGUUUACCUUCCAUGCUCUUACUCAAAGUGGGCAGAAAUCCUGGCAAUAAACAGAACCCUAUAGCCUUCAACCUUCCCAUUAGAUCUCAGAUUCCUUGUUUAUUCUUACUGAAGAAUAAACAAGGGUAUAGCAGGAACACUCAUAUUCUCUAGGUCACAAGGCCAUAGUAGGAAAUGAAGAGCUGUAUAGGCAAAAAUACAUUGAAAAGAAUUUAGUCACCAAGAGCAUGCACUAUGUAUGGCUUCUGUGUAUGUAACCCUCAACAGCAGUGCCCG